CUUAGAUUCUUAACUCUAAAAAGAGCCUCUCACCUGAGGCCUUUACCUGAGAGCUGGAGCCUGUGCGAUGGAUUCUCUGGACAGGGACCCCAAUGAACAGGGCUUUUCUGGAGUGAGGGAGCAGACUGAGGGAAGAACCAGAAGGCUGCCAAAAUACAAUUGUGUGCCUUUAAAGGAAAUAACAACAAGAAUUAGGAGCGCCCUGGAGGCAAGGUCUGCUUCUGGGGAAACAAAGCCACAGUAACUUUAGAAAUAUGGUAUUAAUGGGUAAAGACACCAUGGAUAUGAAGGAGAUUACCUAUGGAAGAAUAUUAGGAAGAGAAGAAGGGGCUGCUGGCUGUAGUGAAAUGUAUAAAAAAGAGAGCGUGAUCCUAGUUUCUGUCUCUACUAUGGGUUACUUGUGAUUAACUUCAAAUAUUCCCUCCACAAGAAGAGGCCCAGAAGAAGAAAAUGAGCUUCAGUUAUUCUAGCACAACUACUGUGAUAUUUGUAAAGAUUCAAAACCUACAAUAAAAUGUAUAAAAGGAAACUCCAUUUGAAAUGAUUUGAAAUCUCACAUGGAAAUCUAGUUUUUUAAAUCAGAGCUUAGUCAGAGAAAAUAACAGAAUAUUGUAAUAAUUGAAUUACAAAAACAAAAAUUUUGGAAAAUAAUUUUUUCUCUCAUGUGAUGUGUGU